AUGACUCUCGGCAACGGAUAUCUUGGCUCCCGCAUCGAUGAAGAACGCAGCGAAAUGCGAUACGUAGUGUGAAUUGCAGAAUCCCGUGAAUCAUCGAGUUUUUGAACGCAAGUUGCGCCCAAAGCCUCAAGGUUGAGGGCACGUCUGCCUGGGCGUCAUG
rnacentral:rRNA from 1 species